AAUGGCCGCGGUACUUUGACCGUGCUAAGGUAGCGCAAUCAAUUGGCUCUUAAUUGGAGUCGGGUAUGAAUGGAAUUACGGAGUUUUUCUGUCUCUUUAUUAAUUUUUUGAAAUUACUAUGCAGGUGAAAAAGCCUGAGUUUAGAAAAAAGACGAGAAGACCCUUAGAGUUUUACUUAAAUUGGGAAAUAAUUUUAUUCCCUUAAUGGUUUAGUUGGGGCAACAUAGGAGAAAAACUAAUCUCCUUAAUAUAAUUAACCGAUAAUUUUAAAUUUGGAUAAACUACCUUAGGGAUAACAGCAUAAUUUAUUAAUUAAGUUUGUGACCUCGAUGUUGGACUAGGAAACUUAAGGGCUAGCCGUUCUUAGGGAAAGUU
rnacentral:rRNA from 1 species